ensembl:lincRNA
AAAACAUUUCCAAAGUAAGGAGGGCUGUCCUUAUUUUACAGGAUAACAAAGACAUAGAGGGACUUAGGAAUCUACCCACAGUCACACAGCUUACAAAGGCAGGGGCAAGAUGUAAGGCUGGGUUAUAUGUGGCCAAACUUAGCAAGUUAGGAGAGAGACUAAGAGAGAGAGAGAAACAGAGACAGAGAGAGGGAGAGAGGCAGAGGGAGAGAGACAGAGAGAGACAGAGAGCAGUUGUUUCUGAUUUUCAGUUAAAUGACCACCCGUCGCCUGAGCGUGUGCACGUCCCACGCACAUCUCCGCUCCAAGGAUCACCAGACUUCACCUGGGGGCAGUCCUGAGUGGUCCACAUCCUCUCUGGCCCGCUGAACCGUGAGCCCCAUUCUCCCGCAGCCCCCUUCUCACCUGCAGGUGCUCAGGGGAGACUAGCCCCAACCGGCCCCAGGGGACCCCGAGCAGCCCGCCGCUGUGACGUUAAAGAGGGGGCUCCUUUGUGAGGUCAGUGAUUCGCCUCUGCUGCCGUCGGAAAGCCAAGGAGGGGACGCAGCGGGGCUAGCCAUUUCAUUUACAUCUGCAUGGGGCCGGGGCUGAUGCCCCCUGGGGCUGGGUUGAGGGUGGAGGAGCCUAAGGACCCGCCGCCCUCCCCUAGGAGUCUGGGUUUUAUGACCGUGUUUAUCAAAGAGUGAUGCUCCCUGCAUCCCUGCAUGGGGGAGCGAGGCGCCCGCCUCCCUCCUCCCCAGCCGGGGCGCGGGUGCGGACCCACACCUCCUCCCCUUUCAGUCUGCGCGAAAGGGAUUCUCAGCAAAACAGCAGCCCCGCUGCAGAGCAGACUUCGAACAAAGGAGGCAGCGCACAGGGCCUGCGCACAUGGCCUCCCCGAGCAGCACCUGCCGGCGCGAUCUCGGGACCCCGGCACCCCGCUCACCUUUCUGCCAGGGCCGGGAUGUGUCCUGUGAGCUGAGGAUACAGAAUCAAGAAACAACCUGGGGACACACCGAUCUCCCCAAUCUUGAUGAAAGUGAGAAAAUAAAACUUGGGCUACUGCCACCCCAUAAACCUCACUGCUCUGCCGGGCCCUCGGGGCGGAGGGAGCGAGAGAGGGUUUGGGAAGCCGCAGGAGGGGCUGAGGCUGAAUCCUGCCACUCCAGCGCCCCCCCCCACCCCGCUCCCUCGCUCCGUCUUCUCACUAAAAAUCCUUCCAGUGAGCUCUUUGCGUUCUUACCUGUUCCCUUCUCAGUUCAGACUUGGUCUCUGCAUUUCAUGUUGCUUCAUGCCGCUGGAAGACUCCCUGGGUACUGCGCCCUGCGGAGUCCACUUUAUUUUAACUGGGCCUUCUCCACCCCCAGCUUCGAGCAGGGGGAAGUAACCUGCAGACAUCCCGGCGGUGCCGUCAGGAGCAGCCCCAGGCCGGCUCAGUGCUUAUUUGGAGAAGAAGGAAGUAAGAGACCACGCUGCAUUGGGAUGAAAGUUAAAAGCUGCUCUUGAGCCAGGUGGAUUGGUCUAGACUUGGGGUAAGAAGAGAGGGAAGAGGUAGCAAGAAGAGGAAUAAAAGCUUCCACACACAGCUCUCUCCUAAUUAAAAUCUCUCUACCCAAGUGUAGCACAUAAUAAAUUAUUGUUGAAUGAGUGAAGGAAUGAAUUACUAUCUAACCAUCAUAAUACUAAUAGAUAAUAUUUGUGCUUCUCUUUAUUUACUGCACGCCAUGGUU